rnacentral:sRNA from 1 species
UGAUGGUUUUGAUAAAUCUCUAUUUCUGG